GGAUGAAGCCCUAAUCAAGUCCACUGAUGCGUUCAAGAAGUUGUAUGUCUCCAAAUGGUCUGAGAUGGUGUCUCACCGUGCCUUGAACACAUUGAGUGAGGCAAAGUUUAACAAGCCAUCAACAUUGCCCUUUACAGAAGAUGUUCGGAUUCUCCAUCACUACCUUCAAAAAUCUGCAGAAAGUGCCUUUUGCAGCUUGGAGAACGAAGCCACAGCUCAGAAUUAUGCCCAACUUGCACAAGUUACACUCUCACAAAUCAUUGUGUUCAACCGAAGACGUUCUGGAGAGGUUUCAAAGAUGCGCCUCAAAAGUUUUCUUGAAAGAGACAAAACAGCACUCCACACAGAUGUUGCCAUGGGGCUCUCAGAAAUGGAACAGAGACUCUGUAACUAUUUCUGUAGAAUAGAAAUAAUGGGAAAAAGGGACAGAAAUGUUCCAGUUCUGCUAACACCAAGCAUGCUGGAUGCUCUGUCACUACUUGUUAGUAGGAGGCCUGACUGUGGUAUUUGUGCCACUAAUAUCUACCUCUUUGCAAGACCCCGAUCAAUGAGUCAUUACAGAGGAAUGGACUCCUUGCGUGUUCAUGCACACCAGUGUGGAGCAAAGCAGCCUGAGUAUCUAAGAUCGACACAGCUCAGAAAACAUGUUGCCACACUCUCACAAGUCCUUAAUUUGAAAAACAACGAACUUGAUCAGGUUGCAGAUUUCCUGGGUCAUGAUAUCCGCGUUCACCGCGAAUUCUACAGAUUACCAGUUCCCACAACACAGCUGGCCAAGAUUUCCAAACUGCUUUUAACACUGGAAAAAGGACAACUUUCCCAGAUCCAGGGGAAAUCACUGGAUGAGAUCAAAAUAGAAGAUGAAAUUGCAUUAAGUGAUGCUGAAACAAAGGACAGUGAGAGUGAAUCAGAUGAUGAUGACACAGCACUCACAAUGUUGGCGUGUGGCACCAGUGAGCCUGUACAUGCAGUAGCUGAUUCCACAAACACAGCGCAGCUCCAAGACACUGUAGAUUGUGCAGAUGAAGGACCACUCACAAUGCCUGCAGCAAGUGAGACUGCUGCUCCCUCUGAAGAGAAAAAUGCUGCUCAAUCCCACAAUUCCCGAAGAGCUCCCAAAAACAUGUGGUCCAAGGCUGAGGUUGCUGCAGUGAUGAGGCAUUUUAAAGACCACAUAAACGAAGGGAAACUAGCCACCAAAAAUGAAUGCAGUCAUUGCAAAUUGGUAGAAGAUCCGGUGUUGGCAGGAAGAACAGUUCAAAACAUAAGAGAUUUUGUAAGAAACAGAGGAUUAACUGCAAAAAGGCAGAAAAAAAUGAACUAAAAUAACUGUUUAGAGAGCUGUGGUUUUACAUCUUGGUCAGAUUGCCAAUUGUUGUUAACACUGAUGUUCUGUUUAAAGAAAAAAAAGUUCUUGUUAAAUACAGAAGUAGUUUGUAUUUCAUAAUUUUUACAUUUAAUUUAUUUAGGGUUUUUUUUGACGGGUUAUAUUUAAAAUAAAAAAUUAUAAAUGCAUAUUUUCUCCCCUUAAUAUUUACCUUUAAACUAUUAAAAUUCAUUUUAAAUGUUUUUAAUUUUUCUGUUUUCUAUAUUUUUAUAUUUCUGUGGGAAGCGUGGGCAUUUUUGUCCAUAGAUUUCUUUUUUUAUUUAUGGUUAAAAUUAAUGUUCAGAUCCAAGAACACUAAUAAAAUGAUGUUCCAGUAAUCCUGUGUCCUGUCAGAUGUGUAUUCAUGGUAAUGAUGAGCUAUUUACAUAUUACAUCAUUGUCC
ensembl:lncRNA